AGUCUAGAGAAUCGUUUUCCGCGUUGGCCUGUGUACAAGUCCCUUGGAACAGGGCGUCAUAGAGGGUGAGAAUCCCGUCCUUGACACAGACUACCAAUGCUUUGUGAUGCGAUCUCGAAGAGUCGAGUUGUUUGGGAAUGCAGCUCAAAAUGGGUGGUAAAUUCCAUCUAAAGCUAAAUAUUGGCGAGAGACCGAUAGCGAACAAGUACCGUGAGGGAAAGAUGAAAAGCACUUUGGAAAGAGAGUUAAACAGUACGUGAAAUUGUUAAAAGGGAAACGAUUGAAGUCAGUCAUGCUCUCCGAGACUCAGCCGAUUCUGUCGGUGUACUUCUCGGUUGGCAGGCCAGCAUCAGUUUUGAUCUGUGGAAAAGGUUGGAAAGAAUGUGGCAUCCUCGGAUGUGUUAUAGCUCUUCUUCGAAUACAUAGAGCGGGACUGAGGAACGCAGCGUGCCUUUUAUUAGGUUGGCCUUCGGGUACAUACACGCUU
rnacentral:rRNA from 1 species